rnacentral:rRNA from 1 species
GACGAACGUUGGCGGCGUGCUUAAUACAUGCAAGUCCACUGAAGCAGUGGUAGCAAUAUCGCUGUGGAGGUGGCGCACGGGUGAGUAACACGUAGGUAAUCUGCCUUCAGGUCUGGCAUAACUCCGGGAAACCGGGGCUAAUAGCAGAUGAUGCAGCGGCUCGACAUCGAGACAGUUGUUAAAGCUAUGGCGCCUGAAGAUGAGCCUGCGUCUGAUUAGCUAGUUGGCGGGGUAACGGCCCACCAAGGCAACGAUCAGUAGCUGGUCUGAGAGGAUGAUCGGGCACACUGGAACUGAGACACGGUCCAGAAUACGACGGGAGGCAGCAGUAAGGAAUAUUGCUCAAUGGGAGACACAAUGAAGCAGCAACGCAGCGUGAGGGACGACGGGCGUUAGGUUGUCCACCUCUGUAGUGAGAGAAAAAAAUCCCAAUCUUUGGGACAUGAUGGUAACUCAAAAGUAAGCCCCGGCUAACUACGUG